UACUUGCAGAAAGAAUCCAGGGUGACUCUGAUAAUGUCACUCGCUUUCUUGUGCUAGCAAGAGAUCCCAUUAUACCAAGGACUGACAAACCUUUUAAGACAAGUAUUGUCUUCACCUUGGAAGAAGGCCCUGGUGUGUUAUUUAAAGCCUUGGCUGUAUUUUUCCUUGAGAGGCAUAAAU